GGAAAGUUGUCCGAGUGGUCGAAGGAGCACGCCUGGAAAGCGUGUAGGCGUCAUCAUGCGUCUCGAGGGUUCGAAUCCCUCACUUUCCG
rnacentral:tRNA from 1 species